CAAUUUUAUUAUUUAUAUAAUCCCCAUCAAUGUUAUACAUGAAAAUGGGAAAAUUCUAAAUUCGAAAUAUGUUAAUAAUGAUACAUUUUUGCUUGUAAUUGGAAGGGUUAAACAUGCUUAGGGAGUGCAUAGGAAGAGAUGACAGAUAAUAUUGCAGUGCAGAUGAAUCCCAGGAGGAGGAGACUGGCAGAGGCAUAGCCUUUGUUGAAGAAUUGGUCAAAAUUUCCUGAACCUGCAAAUAUUGAUUUCAUAUCUUUUGUAACUCCAAAUCCUGCAGCUGCACCAGUGGCUAAAACAUAUGAUAUUACCUUGUCACCAUAGAAGUCAAAAACAAGGCUUCCAUCAUCACUCAUCGCUCGAUUUCCAGUGGCAACGUGGUAUAAUGUGAAAGCCAUUUGCAAGAUUGUGUAUGCAAAUCCAAUAACAAUUGCUGCAACCAUGUACCGAUACGCAUAAACAUCUUUGAAGUGGACUUUAACCUCGACGAGAUCAACUUCUAAGGUGGCAGUGUUGGUGGUCAAGAUAAUAAGUGAAGCCAAGAGGAAAAUAAAAGUGAGAACCCUCAAGACAAGAGCAGACAUACGAGAAGCCAUGGAUGGUGUAGGAGGUGGCAUCUUGAAUAUUAUAAUGAACAAAGCAAGGCUAUAUGGUGGAGGAAGUGAUAAG
rnacentral:misc_RNA from 1 species